rnacentral:rRNA from 1 species
AUUGAACGCUGGCGGCAUGCCUUACACAUGCAAGUCGAACGGCAGCACGGGAGCAAUCCUGGUGGCGAGUGGCGAACGGGUGAGUAAAGUAUCGGAACGUGCCCAGUCGUGGGGGAUAACGUAGCGAAAGUUACGCUAAUACCGCAUACGAUCUAUGGAUGAAAGCGGGGGAUCGCAAGACCUCGCGCGAUUGGAGCGGGCGAUAUCAGAUUAGGUAGUUGGUGGGGUAACGGCUCACCAAGCCGACGAUCUGUAGCUGGUCUGAGAGGACGGCCAGCCACACUGGGACUGAGACACGGCCCAGACUCCUACGGGAGGCAGCAGUGGGGAAUUUUGGACAAUGGGCGAAAGCCUGAUCCAGCCAUGCCGCGUGCAGGAUGAAGGCCUUCGGGUUGUAAACUGCUUUUGUACGGAACGAAAAGGUUUGGCCUAAUAAGCUGAGCUCAUGACGGUACCGUAAGAAUAAGCACCGGCUAACUACGUGCCAGCCGCCGCGGUAA